GUGCAAGUUCAAUAGAAUCAACUGUGUUCUUUGCAUAAACAGUUGAAGAAAAAUCUUACCAUCCUAUGUGUAUGUGUGAGUGGGCAUGCAUAUUACUAGAAUCAGAUGCACCAUGGGAAAGGACAUGUGCAGUGGACAAAGGUUUUCAUAACCUGAGCUUGUCGAUCGAAACAGAAAACUGCCCACACUCUACCUGUAACAACCAAUUGUUUAUCCUCCUGGAAGUGUGCAUAGAAAGAAGGACCCUGGAAAAAGCAAAAAUCCCUUAGCAGCAUUUGUCUGAUUGGACACACCUGGAUCUUAGAACACUGGGUGUUUGGAGAAGCCGCUGUUCAGCCUCAUUCAGCACUGAGCUGUGCUGCCUUUCAGCAGGAUUGCUGCUGCAGCAGAAAGACUCACCAGACUAUUACAACACCAGUCCACACUUCAAGUGAGCCUUUGUACCUGCCCCCAGAGUGUGGAUAAUUCAGAAUCCAGUUCUCCUGCAGCCAGAGCCCCAAGGCUUCUGCCUAGCAACCCCACCUAGUGGACCAACCCCACCUAGAUGUGUGUGAAGCGGUGGAAUUUAGGAAGACUCCCUUGCUAUCACAUCCAAGGUCAAGUUUCUGGAGACAUAUGACCUCUGAGUUGAGUGUGGGACAGUGGCUGCCUGAGUGUGUAUCAGUUGUUCCUACAGCCCUCCACCCAAAUGACCGCAAGUACAGACAACAGCACAGAGCUCCUUGAGAUCACCCUCAGGUCUGGUCUUGGGAUCAACUGGAAUCUUCUUUGAAGUCUUCUCAAAGCAGAAAGCACCAUUCAGAGUUUGGCCUCAGACUCCUUUGUACUGUACCUCACUGGAAAAGGGCACACCACAGACACGUGGGCUCCAGACACACAACUAGCCUCUGGAUGACUCUACAACUGUGCCUCCAACCCUGCAACCUCUGUACCACUAUAAUGUGGUGGCUAAAUCCCUGAGCAAGAAUCUUCAGCUGCCAAACUGGUGGUGGCCAUUACACACCAAGCACCGGAAUCCGGGGACAUGGGCUUUCCAUGUGUCCAAACCAAAACCAGUUCUCACAGAGAAGGACUUAAGGACUGGUCCAGAGACCCAGAGAUUGAUGAGAGGGUGUAGAGAGCUCCAAAAGAAGUGAGAAGACAUGGGGACCUUAAGGAUAGGGAGAGGGCAUUGUGACCCCCAAGGGAGUAAAGAAUAUGAAGACCCCAUAUGAGGGGAAACUGAUGUGAGGAGUCCAGGGAAAGGCAGAGAAGUGUAGAAGCUUCAACCUCACCCAUAAGAACAGCCCUUCAGAGUACCUGAACCCUACCCCAGGAAGGCCACACCUAUUAGCAUUGUUACCAUGGCAGUUAAGCCUCAGCUGGAAUUUUGGAAGAGACCCAUAUUCAAAGCAAAGUAGAAAACAAGGCCACUUCCUAACAUUUCACACUGGACCUGUGCACUGAGAAUCUGGGCAUUGGGCAUAGAACUUGUGAGUCCUGCCAUGGGCCACCAGGUUACGAAUGUGCACUGAAGAGGAGAUUCAGUCCACCCUUAGGGAUACCCUAAAGAGCUAGGCUAAAGGAAAGGCCGCUUUGUGGUCACAAUGGAAGAGCCCAGCCCAGGAUGGAAGCCAGAAAGCUGAAUGUCUCCUGCAGCCUCUGUGCCAGGACUCUACUUCAAAUGUGCUGAACUGAGAGUUGGGAGCUCUGUAACUGGUGGAGGAGGGAGGUGCUAAGAGGACACAUCGAAAAGCCAAUGACACCUGAGUGUGGCCACCACGCCUUGUGACCUGGGCUUCCAAUUCCAGGCAAAGGAGGUAUGUGCUGAGGACACACAAACUCUAACCCUUCAUCCCAUUGAGGGGCUGCAUAGAACCUGACCCUGCUCCUGGAAACAAGAGGCUCCUUGUGCACCUCCUCAGUGUGCUGGUGAGCCAUGUCAGGCAGGGGCCCCAGCCUGGCUAGCAAUGCACGCUCUGCUAGCUGCAGGAAUCUCCCCGGUAAAGCCGCACAUCUCUAUUUCACACAGAUUGUUUUUUCUUGAUUAAAAACUGAUUUUCUGCUGUGCUCUCA